rnacentral:tRNA from 1 species
GGAGAGGUGCUAGAGUGGUUCAAUAGACGGGGAGCUCUUAAUCUCAUGAAAUUCCCGGUUCAUCGGUUCGAAUCCGAUCCUCUCCA